CAAUAGCGUAUAUUAAAGUUGUUGCAGUUAAAAAGCUCGUAGUUGGAUUUGUGGCGUACGGUGUGUUCCGGGCACUUGUUGUCUGAGUAACCUGCUGUUGCCAUCCUUGGGUGGAACCUGUGUGGCAUUAGGUUGUCGUGCAGGGGAUGCCCAUCAUUUACUGUGAAAAAAUUAGAGUGUUUAAAGCAGGCUUAUGCCGUUGAGUAUAUUAGCAUGGAAUAAUAAGAUAGGACUUCGGAACUAUUUUGUUGGUUUGCGUUACGAAGUAAUGAUUAAUAGGGACAGUUGGGGGUAUUCGUAUUUCGUUGUCAGAGGUGAAAUUCUUGGAUUUCCGAAAGACGAACUACUGCGAAAGCAUUUACCAAGGAUGUUUUCAUUAA
rnacentral:rRNA from 1 species